rnacentral:rRNA from 1 species
UGGGGAAUAUUGCACAAUGGGCGCAAGCCUGAUGCAGCCAUGCCGCGUGUAUGAAGAAGGCCUUCGGGUUGUAAAGUACUUUCAGCGAGGAGGAAGGCGUUGUGGUUAAUAACCGCAACGAUUGACGUUACUCGCAGAAGAAGCACCGGCUAACUCCGUGCCAGCAGCCGCGGUAAUACGGAGGGUGCAAGCGUUAAUCGGAAUUACUGGGCGUAAAGCGCACGCAGGCGGUCUGUCAAGUCGGAUGUGAAAUCCCAGGGCUCAACCUGGGAACUGCAUCCGAAACUGGCAGGCUAGAGUCUUGUAGAGGGGGGUAGAAUUCCAGGUGUAGCGGUGAAAUGCGUAGAGAUCUGGAGGAAUACCGGUGGCGAAGGCGGCCCCCUGGACAAAGACUGACGCUCAGGUGCGAAAGCGUGGGGAGCAAACA